GACGAACGCUGGCGGCGUGCUUAACACAUGCAAGUCGAACGGAAAGGCCCUGCUUUUGUGGGGUGCUCGAGUGGCGAACGGGUGAGUAACACGUGAGUAACCUGCCCUUGACUUUGGGAUAACUUCAGGAAACUGGGGCUAAUACCGGAUAGGAGCUCCUGCUGCAUGGUGGGGGUUGGAAAGUUUCGGCGGUUGGGGAUGGACUCGCGGCUUAUCAGCUUGUUGGUGGGGUAGUGGCUUACCAAGGCUUUGACGGGUAGCCGGCCUGAGAGGGUGACCGGCCACUUUGGGCAGGAGAUAGGGCACGGACCCCGGGGGGGGGCGGAAGGGGGGAAUAUUGAAAAGGGGGCGGACGCCGGAGGCGGCAACGCCGCGUGGGGGAUGGCGGCUUUGGGGUUUAACACCGCUUUCGCCGGGGACGAAGGGGGGGGGAGGGUAAGGGGUAAAGAAGCACGGGCUAACUCCGUG
rnacentral:rRNA from 1 species